rnacentral:rRNA from 1 species
UAAUACGUAGGGUGCGAGCGUUAAUCGGAAUUACUGGGCGUAAAGCGUGCGCAGGCGGUUUGUUAAGUCCGCUGUGAAAGCCCCGGGCUCAACCUGGGAAUGGCGGUGGAAACUGGCGAGCUAGAGUGUGUCAGAGGGGGGUGGAAUUCCACGUGUAGCAGUGAAAUGCGUAGAGAUGUGGAGGAACACCAAUGGCGAAGGCAGCCCCCUGGGAUAACACUGACGCUCAGGCACGAAAGCGUGGGGAGCAAACAGGAUUAGAUACCCUGGUAGUCCACGCCCUAAACGAUGUCAACUAGGUGUUGGGGGAGCAAUCUCUUGGUACCGCAGCUAACGCGUGAAGUUGACCGCCUGGGGAGUACGGUCGCAAGAUUA